AUACGUAGGGUGCGAGCGUUGUCCGGAAUUACUGGGCGUAAAGAGCUCGUAGGUGGUUUGUCGCGUCGUCUGUGAAAUUCCGGGGCUUAACUCCGGGCGUGCAGGCGAUACGGGCAUAACUUAAGUACUGUAGGGGAGACUGGAAUUCCUGGUGUAGCGGUGAAAUGCGCAGAUAUCAGGAGGAACACCGGUGGCGAAGGCGGGUCUUGGGGCAGUAACGGACGCUGAGGAGCGAAAGCAUGGGUAGCGAACAGGAUUAGAUACCCUGGUAGUCCAUGCUGUAAACGGUGGGCGCUAGGUGUAGGGGUCUUCCACGACUUCUGUGCCGUAGCUAACGCAUUAAGCGCCCCGCCUGGGGAGUACGGCCGCAAGGCUAAAACUCAAAUGAAUUGACGGGG
rnacentral:rRNA from 1 species